UACGUAGGUGGCAAGCGUUGUCCGGAUUUAUUGGGCGUAAAGGGCGCGCAGGUGGUGCGCUAAGUCUGCCGUGAAAUCUCCCGGCUCAACUGGGAGGGUGCGGUGGAGACUGGCGUGCUUGAGGUACCUAGAGGCGGUGGAAUUCCCGGUGUAGUGGUGAAAUGCGUAGAGAUCGGGAGGAACACCAGUGGCGAAGGCGGCCGGCUGGGGGUGACCUGACGCUGAGGCGGCGAAAGCGUGGGAGCGAACCGG
rnacentral:rRNA from 1 species